rnacentral:rRNA from 1 species
GAGUUGUAUCCUGGCUCAGAUUGAACGCGUGGCGGCAGGCCUAACACAUGCAAGUCGAGCGGUAGAGAGAAGCUUGCUUCUCUUGAGAGCGGCGGACGGGUGAGUAAUGCCUAGGAAUCUGCCUGGUAGUGGGGGAUAACGCUCGGAAACGGACGCUAAUACCGCAUACGUCCUACGGGAGAAAGCAGGGGACCUUCGGGCCUUGCGCUAUCAGAUGAGCCUAGGUCGGAUUAGCUAGUUGGUGAGGUAAUGGCUCACCAAGGCGACGAUCCGUAACUGGUCUGAGAGGAUGAUCAGUCACACUGGAACUGAGACACGGUCCAGACUCUACGGGAGGCAGCAGUGGGGAAUAUUGGACAAUGGGCGAAAGCCUGAUCCAGCCAUGCCGCGUGUGUGAAGAAGGUCUUCGGAUUGUAAAGCACUUU